CAUGUUAAGUAGCAAUACUUGAUGAUGACGAGCGGCGGACGGGUGAGGAACACGUAGGAACCUACCUAUCAGAGGGGGACAACCAAGGGAAACUUUGGCUAAUACCGCAUACACUCGAGAGAGGAAAGUUGCCCGCGAGGGUGAUACUGAUAGAAGGGCCUGCGUCCGAUUAGCUAGUUGGUGAGGUAAGAGCUUACCAAGGCGAUGAUCGGUAACUGGUCUGAGAGGACGACCAGUCACACUGGGACUGAGACACGGCCCAGACUCCUACGGGAGGCAGCAGUGGGGAAUCUUGGACAAUGGGGGCAACCCUGAUCCAGCGAUGCCGCGUGGGUGAAGAAGGCCUUCGGG
rnacentral:rRNA from 1 species